GAUGAACGCUGCCAGAAUGCUUAACACAUGCAAGUCCACUUGAACUUCGGUUUGGGUGGCGGACGGGUGAGUAACGCGUAAAGAACUUGCCUCACAGCUAGGGACAACAUUUGGAAACGAAUGCUAAUACCUGAUAUUAUGAUUUUAGGGCAUCCUAGAAUUAUGAAAGCUAUAUGCGCUGUGAGAGAGCUUUGCGUCCCAUUAGCUAGUUGGAGAGGUAACGGCUCACCAAGGCGAUGAUGGGUAGCCGGCCUGAGAGGGUGAACGGCCACAAGGGGACUGAGACACGGCCCUUACUCCUACGGGAGGCAGCAGUGGGGAAUAUUGGACAAUGGACCAAGAGUCUGAUCCAGCAAUUCUGUGUGCACGAUGAAGUUUUUCGGAAUGUAAAGUGCUUUCAGUUGGGAAGAAAAAAAUGACGGUACCAACAGAAGAAGUGACGGCUAAAUACGUG
rnacentral:rRNA from 1 species